GCCAACGAUUUGUUGACUCUGGCGAAAGUGUGGUGUACGCCAUGCUCCAAUGUUAUGUCUUGUAUGUGUGAUAUUUAUGUUGGUCUAUGACGGGUGUUCCCGCGUAGGUACUGUAACUGUACAUUCCAGGACCUGUUUGUUUCGCAGAGUAUAUAUUCCGUAUUGGAGUACGGAGUUAUGAUAUUGAAGGAAGUCUCGCGAAGGAGAGUUGCUGGUCUGAUAUGUACUCGGUACUGCACUGCACAGUACAUCUGUACAUUAUGAUGACAUUGCUGAGAUCCCGGAAGUAUCUCUGCUACCGCCACGCAAAGUACCUGUGAAUAUUUUUCUAUUUUGCUGUAGUGGUUAAGAGUAACUAUUCGAAUACGGA
rnacentral:sRNA from 2 species